UGGAGGCCGAUGAUAAUGCUAUUGAAAGUCUGGAAGGACUGUAUCAUCUGCCUAAACUAGAGGAAGUUUCUCUGAGGAACAACCAAAUCUGUAAGCUGUCUGAUCUUGAAUCAUUGGCGUCCUGCACCAAACUGACCAGACUGGACCUGCGUGGAAACCCUGUCCACAAAACUGCCAACAUAGAGUCUGAGCUGAGCCAGCUCCUGCCACUGGUUACUGCUCUGUCCCUUUGAUGUGCAGCAUUAGCUGCUCUGUGUGUGUGUGUGUGUGUGUGUGUGUGUGUGUGAUGCAGUAGAGACUAAUUAGAGCUCACUAACCAUUUCUAAACUGUACCUCAUGUACUGGACCUAAAGGGAUAGUUCAGCCAAAAAUAAAACGUCAGUCAUUUAUCUGUAUUUUGGUAGGCUGAAUGAUAUUUUGAUGAAUGUUCAUGCUGCUCGUUUCCAUGCAAUAACAGUCCUAAUGUAAUGCAAAUGAAAUCAGAAAUCAGAAUAUUUUCAGUGCUGUUAUUAGAUGCGCUUAACUGGCAAAAAAAAAAAACCGGUUUGGAAAGACUUUUUUUGAAAAUUGUAUUUUUGGCUCAACUGUGCCUUUAGAAACGUUCAGCAUCUUGUCUGUAUGUUUGUGUGAUAAAUGACGGUUCACAUUUCAAAUAAAGAUUGACCUAUACAAACUCCACACUGCAUGCUGAUAGAGAGAGAAUCUGCUUUUAGCUCUUGAAGUCCUGAGGGUCCUGUUUUGGGCAGAGAUGUUGUUCUUGCAAUGUAUCAGUGAAGAUGCAAAUAUUCGGCUAUGAGUUUCUUGUACUGUAUGAAUUAGACUUUUUUUUAUUUUUUAGCUCUGCAAAAGUCAAGCAUUUGUGGUGUGAAAGCUGCAGGUAUGAGUCUCCAUGUCAAUAAAGAAACAUGUCUCUUC